CCUCUCGUAGUUUGGUGGUCAGAACAUUGGUGCAUAAAGCCAAAGGUCCCGGGUUCGAUUCCCGGCGGGGGUG
rfam:Agrilus planipennis Contig10267, whole genome shotgun sequence.